rnacentral:rRNA from 1 species
GUACGGGUCAGAUUUAUGAGCAAUCAUCGGUCUGAUCAGUGGCGAAAGGGUGAGUAAUGUAUAGGUAACGUACCCCAAUCUCUGGGAUAACUGCGGCCCGCAAGGGUCUUUAGCGAAAGUGCAGGUAAUACCGGAUAACCUCGUAGAAUCGUAUGGUUCAGCGAGUAAAGGCUUCGGCCGGUCUGGGAGCGGCCUAUAUCGUAUCAGCUUGUUGGUGAGGUAACGGCUCACCAAGGCGACAACGCGUACCGGGACUGAGAGGUUGGCCCGGCACAUCGGGACUGAGACACUGCCCGGACCUCCACGGAGGGCUGCAGUAACGAAUAUUGCGCAAUGGCCGAAAGGCUGACGCAGCGACGCCGCGUGCAGGAUGAAGAUCUUCGGAUUGUAAACUGCUGUCAGGGUGAAGAAAGUCUAUUUCGGUAGAUUGAUCUAGCCCAGAGGAAGGCCCGGCUAACUUCGUGCCAGCAGCCGCGGUAAUACGAAGGGGCCUAGCGUUGUUCGGAAUUAUUGGGCUUAAAGCGCACGCAGGCGGAGAGUUAAGUGUCCUGUGAAAUCCCUCGGCUUAACCGGGGAACGGCGGGGCAAACUGACUUUCUUGAGGCAAGCAGGGGUGUGUGGAACUCUGGGUGGAGCGGUGAAAUGCGUAGAUAUCCAGAGGAACGCCGGCGGUGAAAACGACACACUGGGCUUGUACUGACGCUGAGGUGCGAAAGCGUGGGUAGCGAACGGGAUUAGAUACCCCGGUAGUCCACGCCGUAAACGAUGUCUACUAGGUUGUGGUGGUUCUGACACUGGCACAGCCGAAGCAAAAGUGAUAAGUAGACCGCCUGGGGACUACGGUCGCAAGGCUAAAACUCAAAGGAAUUGACGGGGGCUCACACAAGCGGUGGAGCAUGUGGCUUAAUUCGAAUCAACGCGAAGAACCUUAUCCUGGGUUUGACAUGUAUGGAUGGCUAUCCCGAAAGGGAAUAGUUUGCCUUCGGGUGAAACAUACACAGGUGCUGCAUGGCUGUCGUCAGCUCGUGUCGUGAGAUGUUGGGUUAAGUCCCGUAACGAGCGAAACCCUUAUCGUUAGUUGCCAACAGGUAAAGCUGGGAACUCUAGCGAGACUGCCGGUGUUAAACCGGAGGAAGGCGGGGAUGACGUCAAGUCCUCAUGGCCUUUAUGCCCAGGGCUGCACACGUGCUACAAUGGCGCGGACAAACCGAUGCAAGACCGCGAGGUGGAGCAAAUCGGACAAACCGCGUCCCAGUUCGGAUUGCAGGCUGCAACUCGUCUGCAUGAAGUUGGAAUCGCUAGUAAUCGCGGAUCAGCUACGCCGCGGUGAAUGUGUUCCUGAGCCUUGUACACACCGCCCGUCAAGUCAUGGGAGCUGGGAGUACCUGAAGUCGGAUAGCGAACCCGCAUGGGAAGCGUCUGCCGAUGGUAAGCCCGGUGACUGGGGCUAAGUCGGAACAAGGUA